CAAAAAAAAAAAAAAAAAAACACUUGGAAGAACUACAGAUUGGAGAUGCUUUGCUUGAGUUGUGGAUCCACAUAAAAUAACAGCUUCAAAAUUUGCCCAUUUGCAUACAAAAGCUAGCUGCAUCAAACCCACUUGCAUAUAUAUAAUUCUACACUUAACAUUUUAUAUAUAUUGAUAGAAUUAAGCGGGCGGAAUCUUUUUCCAUUCUGGGCUGCAGGUGCCUCUACAAAGCGGCAACAGUCUCGCCUUUGGUGGAGACUUCUGAUGCGGUGUUGGAGGUUGCAACUUCUUUCUUAGACGCUAAUGAGCACUUCUCUUUCCUCUCGUCUUGGUUCAUUUGCUGUUGCCUGCACUCUAGACUGCAGAAAGCACUAUCCCCUCUAAGCCAAACAACAAUUAACAAAAUCUUGAUUAGAAACAUAUUUAGCGCAUGAAAGAGGGAGAGGAGAGGAGAGGGGAGGGGAAGGGAAGAUGAAUUAUUAAUUUUAUGUUUAUAAGUUAUUAGAUUCAAGAGUUCUUGAUUAUCUGAAAGAAAUCUUCAAAGUUGAAAGGACUUGAAAUUGAUAUUGAGGAAGGUUAGGUACCUAUACAUGUAGAUGUCACGGCCAGGGACCAAUCGGCGCUUGCAGAGGGAGCAAGACCUCAAGAAGUGAGCAGUCUCCAAGAAAUCAGCGGAAACCCUUCUAUGGGUUCCUGGUGAAACGUUGGCGGCCAAGAACCGCUGAUCUAGCUGGCCAACAAAUCCCGCCAUCUGUUUAUGGGCGAUGUGCGGAUCAGACGACGGUGGAGCUGAUUCACAGUCUAGAUCAAAGGUGAUCUCUGACAUGCUUGUUGUUCUCUUCAUUGGACCCCUCGGUCUCUUCCCCAACAACAUCUUUACGCAGCUCUUCUUCCUUUACAGCAGCUUCAAUCACUCCUUUCUUCCUUGAUUGUUUUUCUUGCCAGUGAGGAAGGGGAAAUUAAUCUUGAGAGAGCGAGAGGAGGUGGGUGGAGAAGUGAAGGAGAAGUGGAGAUUGGGAAAAUAAAGGAAGAGCCAGAAACCGAGGAGUAAAUCUGAGCCGUUCAUUUAAUUGGUAGCCUUUAUUAUUUUUUUUAAUGUGGCAAAUCCACGUCAAAACAUUUUCUAUUAAUUUCUUUCUUUUUGGUGAAUGGGGGAGGAGAGCUUUGGAUACUCUCUCUUCUCCAGUGACAGCAGUCAAAAUCUAAUGAGGUUCAUUGGCCACUCCAAUGCUACCACGUCAAGGAAAUAAGAUUUUUAUUUUUUUUUUGCCCCCUUGGUUGGGUAAGUUGGUAUUUG
rnacentral:misc_RNA from 1 species